AUGAAGUUAAGAGGAUCGAGAGUAAAGCAGGCCGACUCUGGUUCACCAGGGACUUUCAGUGCGCCUGUUAGGAAGAAAAGAGGGACAAGAGCACCUCCAUCUUCUAGAUGUUUACGUGGUAAAAAGGAUGAUAAUGAUAAUGUCAUGAGCAGUGAUGACGCUAUUACAGAAGAAGGCCAUGCUGCCUCCCCUUCAAGCAGGAAGGCAAAAGAACAAAAUCACGGAGAGAUAGCUGUUGGAAGCUCAGCUGGUAAAGAGAAAUCUCCCUGUGUAGAGAAGGAAAAUAAUACUAGGAAAAUCCAUCAAGAUACAUUUCAUUUGAAACAUGAUGGUGUUGUUACAGAUCCCACAGGCCAGAGUGUCUCUGUAAAUGAAGCACGUGAAAACUCGAGGGCAUUGAAAAAUACUUCUAAUGUGCAAACAACUACUGUUAAGAAGACUACUGCUGAGGAUAAAACUUCUCGAGCAAUCAUGGAUGAUGUUUUUAAUGCAGAAAUGGAUUCCACGUCUUCAGAUGAUGAGAGUGCCGAAGAAGUUGAGGAUGUGAAAGUUUGUGACAUAUGUGGAGAUGUUGGUGAUGAGGUGAAGCUCGCUGUUUGCAAUAGAUGCAACGAUGGUGCUGAGCAUACUUAUUGUAUGCGGGACAUGAUGGAAAAGGUUCCGGAUGGUGAGUGGUUUUGUGAAGAGUGCCAAACUGAAGUAGAAUAUGAAAAGGAGAAGUUAGAAAAACCUCAGGUGAAGCUUGUCACUUCAAAGGAAGAGUCUGUUCAAGGGAAAAUCAGUAAACCUUACAAUGAUGCAAACAGCAGAAGUCCUUGUGAGAAUGAAGUGGAAGAUGAAACUGUUGGCAGAAAAGAACGGAAUGAAGCAAAUCAAGGCAUUGAUAUGGUUGAAGAUGCAAAGAUUCCUCCUGUGGCUAAACAAAAUAUUCCUGAACCUGGUGGUUUAUCAAUGGAGUCUUACUCCAGAAAAGGAAUACCUCUGCCACGUGAGAGCUCAUUCAGGUUGGAUAUAGAGAAAGGAAAGCAACCUACUCCCCAAGUGCCAAUCUUACUGGGGUCUAAUGCUAGCAAGAAUCAGGCACCACCACUUACCGGUCAACUCUCCAAGUCCACUUCUUUCAACAGCUCUAAGGUGCCCAAGGUGAAGCAACUAGUGAAUGAAGUUCCUCAGAAGACCAAAACUUUGAAGGAUCAGUUGUCCUGUAGUAUGAGAAAAGAGGGGCCAACGAGCUUUUCAACUAAGUCAGCAUCAUUCAAAAAGCCCAAAACUUGUGAGCCUGCAAAUAAGGCAAAGUCUUCCAUCAUUCCACCUGCUGAGGAGCUAAGUGUGAUGAAUUUACCAGUGAGCCGAAAUGUAAGUAAUGAUAGAGGCACUUCUAUAUUAGGAUGCCCCUCAAUUACUGGACCACUGGCUUUUCCAGUUCAAUCAAAAGCAGAAUCUGCAGCUCAGCGCCUCACUACAGGAAGCAACAUGUCUGCCUCUAGCAAUUCAGGCCAUUUUACCCAAUUUUGUGGUGUUGAUAAAUUAGGUUUGUCUGCAAUGAAACCUCUGAGUGAGCGAAACUUGAAGGAUGCCUCUGCCAAAAGGAAUAAAAUGUCUGAAGCUACUGAGAAAGCUACUUCCAGAUUAGCAGAUCAAUCUGAUCGCAUCCUCAAAUGUGGUCCUUAUCAUGACCCAGUAUACAGGCCUAAAGAUAUGUCAUCUGGAAGAUCUGUUCCCAGCAGUUCUACUAUAUCAAGUGAUCCGAUGGACAAAUCGAGUCGAGGCUUUUCACCUGUUGAUAAAACAAUAGUUUCAACUGUUCCAGAGUUGGAUUAUAUUUGGCAGGGUGAUUUUGAGCUGUGGAGGACUGGAAGAUCACCUGAGCUAUGUGAUGGUUUUCAAGCUCACUUAUCAUGUUCUGCUUCACCAAAAGUGCUGGAAGUAGCAAAGAAAUUCCCUUCCAGAGUCCAGCUUGAAGAACUGCCUCGUCGAAACUCAUGGCCCACACAGUUUCAACAAAAUGGACCCACAUAUGAGAAUAUUGGUGUUUUCUUCUUUGCUAGAGAUGCUCAGAGCUAUGAACAUCAUUACAGUAAAUUGGUUCAGAAUAUGCUAAUCAAUGAUUUGGCACUCAGAGGAAAUAUCGAAACAGCCGAAUUAAUUAUAUUCCCUUCUAACAUCCUAUCAAAGAACUCUCAAAGAUGGAACAUGUUUUAUUUCCUAUGGGGUGUGUUUAAAGUGAAAAGAGAAGAUCACUGGAACCUUCCACUUGAUGUACCAAUAAGUAAAUGUGAAACUGAUUUGAAUGAGGAUCCCCUGACCGUGGAUCCGCAUACCUCUGUUUUGUCCUCUAGCCGUUCAUUGUCUGAAGACCAAAAUAAUGGCGCUGAUCCAGCCUGCUAUUUGGUCAAGUCAGCUACUUCUGCAGAACAUCAAUGUCUGCAAACUUCGGAAGCUAAUCGUCAGGGAUGUUCAAAUGGAGAUAACUCUUCGGUCCAGGCUGUCGGUGGAAGAGAUUUGGAAGAUCACUGUCAUGAUUCAAGUAUGACAUGUUGUUUAACAAAUAACAGGAGGGCAAACAAUGAUUUUUCCACUGCUCCGGCAGGAAAACAGAAGAUAAUUGCAUAUCCAGACUCUCAAAAGAAAAUGUGUGAUGGUGGCAAUGUUGUCGAACCCAUUUUUGAUGUAAAUACGAUGCCAGUUAAUUGCUCUAUCUCAUCAAUCCACAAACAAGAUAAUCAGAACCGAGCCAUCAACCUUAACAAUGCAGAGAGCCUGAUGGAUGUAGAUCAUGCAAAUAAUAUUGAACUGAACUCAGGUACAGUGGAUCUUGCUUCACAUGCAUCACGUAGUGCACAAAAAAGAAAUGUGGACAUGGCAAACUGGAUUGACGGAGCCAAUGGAUCAGUAGACAAGAAAAUUAAAUUGGAUAAUGUAUCAUCCACUGUGGAGUCUAGUUUAAGUGGGAAGAUCAGAGAUGGAAGGUUGUCAUCCAAGGUACACCCUCUAGCAGCUUUACCUGUUCAUGAUUGCACUGACAAUAAGAGCAUGGCAGGAAUCUCGAAGAGUAAUGGAAAGUGCACAUUUCCGCUAGAUCUAAACGUGGUGGAUGAUGCAGAUAUAGACAUGGCGGAUGAUGCAGCGAUUGGAAAUAGCAUAACCGUUCAGUCUGAAGAUUUACCUGAACAGAACACACAAGAUCUUAAGCCAGCACUGGGGGACAACAUAUCUUCUAGAAAGCCCGUGGUUGAAGAAAAGUUGAAUAAAGGAGAUACACCGCCUACUGAUAUGUCAGGCGCGCUCUCCCUCUCCCUUGCUUUUCCAGCAUCAAAGGAACAAUAG
rnacentral:rRNA from 1 species